rnacentral:rRNA from 1 species
UACGGAGGGUGCAAACGUUGCUCGGAAUCAUUGGGCGUAAAGCGCACGUAGGCGGUCUCGUAAGUCGGAUGUGAAAUCCCUGGGCUUAACCGAGGAAGUGCAUUCGAAACUGCAAGACUUGAGUACGGGAGAGGAUCGCGGAAUUCCCGGUGUAGAGGUGAAAUUCGUAGAUAUCGGGAGGAACACCAGAGGCGAAGGCGGCGAUCUGGACCGAUACUGACGCUGAGGUGCGAAAGCGUGGGGAGCAAAC